rnacentral:rRNA from 1 species
CCUACGGGAGGCUGCAGUGGGGAAUAUUGGACAAUGGGGGGAACCCUGAUCCAGCCAUGCCGCGUGUGUGAAGAAGGCCCUCGGGUUGUAAAGCACUUUCAGUGAGGAAGAACGCCUGGUGGUUAAUACCCAUCAGGAAAGACAUCACUCACAGAAGAAGCACCGGCUAACUCCGUGCCAGCAGCCGCGGUAAUACGGAGGGUGCGAGCGUUAAUCGGAAUUACUGGGCGUAAAGCGCGCGUAGGUGGCUUGAUAAGCCGGUUGUGAAAGCCCCGGGCUCAACCUGGGAACGGCAUCCGGAACUGUCAAGCUAGAGUGCAGGAGAGGAAGGUAGAAUUCCCGGUGUAGCGGUGAAAUGCGUAGAGAUCGGGAGGAACACCAGUGGCGAAGGCGGCCUUCUGGACUGACACUGACACUGAGGUGCGAAAGCGUGGGUAGCAAACAGGAUUAGAUACCCCUGUAGUC